ACUGAGGUACAAGCUUCUGGUCUUAAUCACUGGAUAGUGAUGCAUAACUGUUAACCAAGAGGGUCAGACUGGCAACCUCAGUAAAGUCAGCAACCCCAGUAAGAAGAAAGGGACCCUCUUUAUUGAUAUACAGCAAAGAAGGGAUCUUGGUCGGUAUGGAGAAAAGGUGAUAGGUUGUUGUAGAAUUGGAACAGAAACAUUAUGAUUGGCUAUACAAAGAAAGGCAGGCUGGUAUUCACGGGAGGCUAAUCACUGCCCCUCUCUAUCAAUUAAGGAAUGUUAAUUGUUUUAUGGAAUGCAUCUUUCUAAUUUUUGCUAGGGGAUCAAAACUACCAGACUUGCUGUCUCCUUGGAACAGAUUAAAAACUCCCCUAACUACACAGGGACAGGCAAGGACAGCCAACAUAUCUUUUGGGGAUGUUACCAAGUUAACCUGUGGAGCUUAAAGAUAACAAAUAGAUGUUCUGAAAGUAUCUCAAGAGCUACAGACCCAGGAACAUGAGAGAAGAACCUACCAGGCCUCACUUGGCUUUGGGGCAGAAAACCAUAGAUGUUUUUCGCUCGUUCUCUGGAUUGAGACAGCGUCACCAGGGGAACAACAGUGACCCGGAAGUAAGAACCACAGGGUGAAGAGGAGAGCAGUGACCAAGAAAAUGGCAAACAACCCCGCAACCACAGAAAACAGAACACCGGGCUGGUCUUUAAAUCUAGGAGAAUCACAAUUAAUCCAGGCUCCUUCUCCCCAGGCUGGAUGGUGCUUUGUAGGCAGCUAUAUGACACAGGAGGAUGCAGCACUGAGCCUGGAGUCAGGAAGACCUGAGUUCAAAUGAGAUAUUUGUAAAGCACCUGUCAUCGAGUAGGUGCUUAAUACAUGUAUAUGUCCUCCCCCCAUGUGCUUCUUUCUCUUUUUAUUUGGGAACCACAAAUUACUGGAUUUGUUUUUCCUCUAACUCCCAUGCUUCUCUUUUCAGUUGUCAUGAAUAAAUUGGCACCAUCACUUCCUGAGAUACGUCUAGAACACAUACUCAAUGGCUGAUAUCUCUAAAACAGCUACUCAAUUAUAAUAACAAAUAUUUGUCAUGGGUAUGGUUACACAUACCAACUUAGAAAAAUUGACUAUAAACCUAUGCAAGUUAUACGUAUGGGUGCUCACUUAAAUACUUAUUAUUGUACUUAUUAAGUACCUACUGUGUACACCAUGUUUUGGGAGACAAUGCAGUGUAGUGGAUAGACUGCUAGACUUUCAGUCAGGAAGGCACAUAUCAGGGAAGAAGAGAAUAAAUAUUCAUUAUGUGCCUACUACACGGCAGGAAGACAGUUCAAAGUCAACCUCUUAUACUUACUAAGUGUGUGAUCUUGCGUGAGUCAAUUCCCAGAUUCUUUGUGUCUCAGAUAAUUUCCUGAUACUGAUAUGGAUUAUUAUUCAUCAUUUAUUAACAUUGCUUGAACUUAACUUUAUGUGACUAGAGAUUAUUUGAACUCAGAAUAUAACCUUGACCUCAGCAAUUCUCCAGAAAUAUCUGAGAUGGCUAUGAUAAAUUUUGGGCUCCCCCACAUCCUGGAUCCACCCCUGUGUUUUGACUCCACCCGAAUUUUAUUGGAUGUUUACAUUUACUGAUAUCCAUCUCAAUCUACUUUGCUUUCAAGGUUUUUUUUUUUGGCAAAAUUGCUUAACUGCAUAUAUGUGGUUUAUGUAUGGGUUGUAUUCAGUUUUGGUGUUUUUUUAUAAGCUUUAGGAGGGCCUGACUUCCUCUGUUUAUAUUGUAUAUUCCCAGUUUAUAGUGUAUAGAUGUUGUUUACACAUAGUUGUUUGCAUAGUGUAUCCCUCAUUAGACUGUGAGUUUUUUGAGGGCAAGGACUUUCUACUGAAUAUUUACCUACUAUAAGUCAAUGUAAUAAUAAAUGUUUUUUCAUUGACUUCCUUGUAGUUCCCUGCUCAAUUAGGGCACUUAGCAAAUACUGGCUUCUGACAAGCCAGUGAGGAGAUCACCACCUGGUUCCAGUCUGGGUCGGGUGAAGAUCCUUUCUGAUUACAUUCUCCUCCUCCUCCUCUCUGUGUCUUUUCUCAUACUGUCCUCUGUGACUGGAGGAGACUCUCUUUCACCCCAAUUUUCAUCUGUCAUGGGCCACGACACUAGUGGAACUGGAGAGCCUUGGGUUAACCUCAUACUCCCAUACCACUGCCCAUUUGUGCUGUAAGCCAGGACCCUGUGAAGCAGUAUGAGGGCCAUUUGAGUUAAUUUUGCAUCCAGGCAUAUAUCUAUGGGAUACUGCCUUGGGUUCUUUGGGCAAGGAGGAUAUUCAAAGGCUGUGAGUGCCUAAUAGUCAGGGAACUUCCUUACCAACUCCUUUUAAUAUUCUUGCUGGUGGCUUUUUACUUUAUUAGUCUGUUUUUUGGAGGCAGCUAGAUGGCUCAGUGGAUAGAGUGCUGGGCCCAGAAUCAGGAAGACCUGAGUUCAAAUCUGGC